rnacentral:rRNA from 1 species
GACAGAGGGUGCAAACGUUGUUCGGAAUUACUGGGCGUAAAGCGUGUGUAGGCGGCUGCGCAAGUCGGAUGUGAAAGCCCCGGGCUCAACCCGGGAAGUGCACCCGAAACUGCGUAGCUUGAGUACCGGAGAGGUUGGUGGAAUUCUCGGUGUAGGAGGUAGAAAUUCGUAGAUAUCGAGAGGAACACCGGUGGCGAAGGCGGCCAACUGGACGAGUACUGACGCUGGAGAACACGAAAGCCGUGGGGAGCAAACAGGAUAGAA